UACGUAGGGGCCAAGCGUUGUCCGGAUUUAUUGGGCGUAAAGAGCUCGUAGGCGGUUCGGCAAGUCAGCUGUGAAAUCUCCACGCUCAACGUGGAGGGGUCAGCUGAUACUGCUGUGACUCGAGUCCGGUAGGGGAGUGUGGAAUUCCCGGUGUAGCGGUGAAAUGCGCAGAUAUCGGGAGGAACACCAGUAGCGAAGGCGGGUCUCUGGGCCGAAACUGACGCUGAGGAGCGAAAGCGUGGGGAGCGAACAGG
rnacentral:rRNA from 1 species